UAAUCUGCCUCUGGCUUCGGGAUAGCCACCGGAAACGGUGAUUAAUACCGGAUAUGACGCAUCACCGCAUGGUGUGUGUGUGGAAAGUUUUUUCGGCCAGGGAUGUGCUCGCGGCCUAUCAGCUUGUUGGUGGGGUAAUGGCCUACCAAGGCUUCGACGGGUAGCCGGCCUGAGAGGGUGACCGGCCACACUGGGACUGAGACACGGCCCAGACUCCUACGGGAGGCAGCAGUGGGGAAUAUUGGACAAUGGGCGGAAGCCUGAUCCAGCAACGCCGCGUGAGGGAUGACGGCCUUCGGGUUGUAAACCUCUUUCAGCACAGACGAAGCGCAAGUGACGGUAUGUGCAGAAGAAGGACCGGCCAACUACGUGCCAGCAGCCGCGGUAAUACGUAGGGUCCGAGCGUUGUCCGGAAUUAUUGGGCGUAAAGGGCUCGUAGGCGGUUUGUCGCGUCGGGAGUGAAAACACCGGGCUUAACUCGGUGCUUGCUUUCGAUACGGGCAGACUAGAGGCAUUCAGGGGAGAACGGAAUUCCUGGUGUAGCGGUGAAAUGCGCAGAUAUCAGGAGGAACACCGGUGGCGAAGGCGGUUCUCUGGGAAUGUCCUGACGCUGAGGAGCGAAAGUGUGGGGAGCGAACAGGAUUAGAUACCCUGGUAGUCCACACCGUAAACGUUGGGCGCU
rnacentral:rRNA from 1 species